rnacentral:rRNA from 1 species
ACGAACGCUGGCGGCGUGCCUAACACAUGCAAGUCGAACGGUUCAGGAGGCAAGAAACGAGAAGCGCGAGGCAAGAGAACAAGAGGGAUUGGUUUUUGGCCAAUUUCAGCUAAGGAGAUUUGCUUCAUGCGUCUGGUUUCUUGUCUCCUGGAUAGUGGCGGACGGGUGAGUAACGCGUGGGUAACCUGCCUAUCAGAAAGGGAUAACACCGGGAAGCUGGUGUUAAUACCAGAUACGCUUUAGAGGAGGCAUCUUCUUUAAAGGGAAAGGACAACCGCUGAUAGAUGGGCCCGCGUCCCAUUAGCUAGUUGGUAGGGUAGAGGCCUACCAAGGCGACGAUGGGUAGCCG